rnacentral:lncRNA from 1 species
CUUGCUUCACUAGAUGAUCUACUUCACUUUGUAGGAAUCUGCAUUCUGAUGUUUUGUGUCCAUGGUCAUUGUGAAAUUCGCACCAAUAAUCCGGAUUACGUCUGUUUGGAUUUGACCGCAUAUCUUUUGGCCACCGUACCUUAUCUCCCAUACUCCUUAGAACAACUACGAGCUCAGAAUUAGUUAUAUUGAAACUAUGACCAGCGAAUCAUGCCAUUAAAUCCCUAUCAUCAUCUCGUGGCUCUUGGUUGUUUCGAUCGCCUCUGAACCUGGAUGAAGUCCUGG